GAAUGCAGGCCUGGUAAAAGACCGCCAGGCCCCACUUCAAACGGCGUGCGGUGGCAAGCUAAAGCGGGAUCCACCCUGCUGAUUUAUUAGGAUACAGAGUCAUCUAACAGAAGACUGGAUCUGCUGUAGUUCUUUCACCACUGGAACACAGAGGUGUUGUCCUGUACUUUUACUAAGCAGCAAAGUGUGUCUCCCUCCGAGCCGGCAUCUCCACCCCUGGGAGGGGCCUCAGUGUUCUGCUGAUUGCUCACACCUGUGGGUAAUUUAGACGGGGACUCAUACGGCCAGCGCACUCAACCUCUCUUCGCCAGAUUCUCAGCUAACCCUACCACACCAAGCUGCCAAACACUAAUCUCUGCCGAAGAGCUCCAACCCGGACGCUGGACCACCUGACAGUCCCACAGGUUGUUCACCCGAACCACCUGC